AUGGGACUUUCACAAGGAAAUCAGAUUGAAACCACUGGGCCAAAUGAAUGAAAUGGUUAUAUGCAAAAAGCAGGGGGAAUUUGCUGCAAAGAAGAUUUUCACUUCUGUUUUGCUAAACAGGAACGUUUAAACUAUUUCAGCUUAUUUGCUCCUUCAAGUUAAUUUCCUUUUCUUUUUUUUUUCUGCUUCGCAAAGCCUCCCUCUCUGUGCACGAUAGAGCUUUCUGCAGGAAAGAUUUUUUUUUUUAAAAGCCCUGAUGUAUGCGUGUGUAUUUGAGUGGGCUGGCCAUUACAGUUCCAGCACAUAGAUGUUCGAACAAAGGAAAGAUGCCUCACAAGGUCAGCAAGAGGCCUUCAUGGAAAGCUGGGGAGGUUCUGCGGCGCUGUUUCUGCAGAGCUGGGGAGGACUCCCACAGCAGAUGCUGAACAGGCAUGUCUAGAUCACAGCGAAGCUUCCAACCGCUGAGCUUCUGGGAUUAUUCUACUUUCCUCACUAGCUACUCCCAAAUCAAACUCCCACACUCAUUAUAACACUGUAUUGAUGUCGCCUGGCCCGUCAGAAUUUAAAGCAAAAUGAAAUCCAUUUUCAUUUUGGAUUGAUUCAUUGAAGCCUAUCUGAUCAUCGUAGAAUAUAAAUCAUUUGUUACAUGUUUUUCAAUUUGUUUCAACCAUUCUAGGGUGAAGUGAAGCAAUAAUGACGAGGGUCAGAAUUAUCCUUAACUGAUAUAUGUAACUAUAAUUCUACUCAUUUUCCCACACUUAGAUAAUUUUAUUUCUUAAUUGUUCAGAGAGUAACCUGUGGGAAGUGAAAUGUAAUCACAGUGUGGAUAAGGUUUUCAGGAGGUCUCUUUCCACUCAUUGCAGACUUGUUGCUCAGAGGUCUUCGAAAAUUUGCCUGUCUGACGCAAAACACAGCAUGCCACAUGCUUUGAAUAUAUAUUUGAAUGUGUCCAUUGAAAUCCUCCCCGUUUCAUUUAAUAAAAACAGAGUGUAUUAAAACAGGGCCACAGUGAAGUAUAAUCUAUAGUAAAUUUGUUGUUAUUUCAACACAAAUCAUACAGUACCAUCAAAAUAAACCCUGAACACUUCUAGAUAUUGUACAUUUCUUGUUUUCAGACAUUUGUGCCCUAAAGAAAUGCUUUUGAAACCAACACCAUACCCUAGUGUAUUGAUCAAAUUACACUGUUAUUCUCAGACAAAAGGAAAUGCCUAUACAAAAGCUGCCAAAACAGCAAACACAAUCCUGGGCAUAAGGAAAUCACUGGAACACAGGCAUUUCUGGCUCUCCUGUAGAAAAAAA